AGCUGGAACUGAUGCUGCCCCCUGCCCUUCCCAGCCCUUAAAUACCAAUCAAGGAGGGGAGGAGCCAGGCUCCAACCAAUCACAAUCCACCCCUCAACGGCCCCCACCUGUGCCCAUGGGGUGGGCCCCUCUCCUCAGCAGGUGCCCAAUCAGGAUGUUACAUAACAGCUCCAAUCGAGAACAAAGACAAAAACAAAGCAGUAACAGAGCUGCUGGAUGGAGCUCCAGGACUUGGCUUCUCUGCCAUCACAUUGCUCAGCCUGGAACAGCACUACAGGAGGUGAGUUCUGGUUCUGAUAAUGGAAUAAUGCUGAGCGGUUGGAGGGCAGAAAUGAUUGAGGGGGGGAUUUUGAGGUGUCUGGGGGGGACAUGGAGCUGAUGUUUGCCAAUGAAGCUGUAUGUAGAUGUGGAGGUAUCAAUGGAGUUACACAAGGAACCAUGUUGGAACGUGAUGAUGAGUAGAUGAGGGACUGAAUAGUGAAAAAGGAGCCAUAGUAGAUGAAAAGAGAACACUUAGCUACAGAAAGGGAAAGGGGGCCUCACUAAGGCAAAGGGUAAAAAAAUUAAGAAAAGACGGGUAAGAGCAGAAGAAAACCAAAAAAAGCAGGGUUAGAAUAUAAGAAAACAAAAAAAAAAGCAGGGUUAGAGCGGAAGAAAACCAAGAAAAGACAAAUUAGAGCAGCAGGAAAACCUAGAAAAGCAAGGUUAGAUGGGAAGAAAACCAAGAAAUGACAAUUUAGAGUGGAAGAAAACAAAGAAAAGACGGGUUAGAAAGAAAGAAAACCAAGAAAAGAUGGGUAUAGCAGAAGAAAACCAAGAAAAGCAGGGUUAGAGUGUAAGAAAACCAAGAAAAGACAGGUUAGAGCGGAAGGAAUCCAAGAAAAGCAGUGUUAGAGCGGAUGAAAACCAAGAAAAGCAGGGUUAAAGCAAAGGAAAACCAAGAAAAACGAGUUGGAUCUGAAGAAAAGCAAGAAAAGCAGGGUUAGAGAGGAGGAAAACCAAUUGCCGGGGGCACAUGUAGUUCAAUUUGACCAGCCACCGGGGGCACAUGUAGUCCAAUUGGACCAACCAUCGGGGACACCAGAUACAAUGUUGGUUGCCCCUGUAAGAGGGCGAAAGACAAAACAAGUUUCAACUCAGUUAGAGAAAAUGCUCUGGUGGAAAUGCUAUACAGCCGCGAGUUCAAUCGUAAUGAUCCAGACCAAUUACAUGAUCCUGAAGCAGUCCGCGUUCCACGAACGAAAAUGUUGGCGACUUUUACAGAAAAGCAGCUCCCAGAAAGCAUGG
rnacentral:lncRNA from 1 species